GGUUGCGAUCAUACCAGCAGUAAUGCACCGGAUCCCAUCAGAACUCCGCAGUUAAGCGUGCUUGGGCGAGAGUAGUACUAGGAUGGUGACCCCCUGGGAAGUCCUCGUGUUGCAACCC
rnacentral:rRNA from 1 species